GGCAAAUCCCUUCAGUAUCUUUGCCAAGAAAACCCCCUGGAUUGUAUUGAAAUGCUAUGGUCCAUGACAUCACAAAGAGUUAGACAUGACUAAAUGACUGAACAAUAACAGCAUACUGAUAGAUCAUCAUAUCUACUAAUGACACAAAACUGGGAGAGUUAGCUAAUAUACUGAAUGAGAGUGUUAGAAUCCAAAAAGAUCUUGACUAUAAGCAAGGCUAGAGCAUUAAAGUAAAUUGAAUAAGAUGAAAUUCAAAAAAGCUAAAUAUAAGGUUUUAUGCUUAGAUCCAAAAAAUCAGCUCUAUAAAUGCAAGAUAGAAGAAGUUCUGAAAAGGAUCUGGGAUUUUUAGUGGACUGCAAGCUCAAUAUGAGUCAACAGUGUGAUAUGAUAGCCAUAAAAGCUAAUACUUCCUCCCAGAAUCAUGAACUUGCUUUUCUUCCAACCCAUCCCAUUAGUGUGGCUGGAAUGCUCCAAACAGAGGUCAUAGGUUAAGAACCCUAGGAACAUGAUCUGGAACUAAGGGUUAUGAGUCUAGGUCAGAAAGACUUUGAUUGGUUCCUGAGAUGUCUUAGACCAGCUCAGAGAGACAGGAAGCAAUAUGAAGAAAAGAUGAGACUGGAGAGGAGAUUAAGAGCUUUUGGCAUAAUUUUGCUAGGAUUGAUUCUUCUACUCCAUUUGGCAUUGGUGACUCAGGUCAGAGAGAAAGACACCCUUCCUCCAAAAAGACUACAGGACUUCCAUAUGGAGAUUGGAACCUUGUUGGAGAGUGAGCUGAAAUUCUACGGAUCAGUCUUUAGAGUGGUAACUUCAAAAUUGGUUGUCCACUCUUGAAGCUUAUUUUCAAUGGCCAAAUGAUCAGGAAGAGACAAUAAUGACCAGGACAAUAUGAAAAGGUACAGGAUCCCAGGUUGUACAGAAGUAGCCCUCACUGAUGAUAUGUCAGUUGUGGAAGGAGAGGAGGAGAGAGUUUCCUGUUUUGGGUAGGAAACGACAACAAAACUGUCCAUCUGCAAGUAUCUGUGGCAGUCUAAGUUUUCCGUGACAGUUAUCUUUGCCUUUAGCAUCUGCCCUAGUGAUGCAAGAGAAGAAGAAAAAGAAGAGGUGGGGAGAGAGUCUCAGACAGCAGCACUGCUUGGGAAGGUAGGUCUCUGGAGAAAGGAGAAUGAAGAGGAAAGAAUGAUUUCCGGUUUAUCUGCUGAUAAAAUGUUGAAGGUUGAGUUGAGGCAAGAGUUGUCAUUUUACUCAUAUAUAUGUGAUUUUGGCUUGUUUCAGAUCCCACCACCGCUAGCAGAAGCCAUGUGGCUCUUACCAUAUUGCUAUGAUUUCAAUGUUUAGAGAUUAAAAACAGAAUAUCCACAAUAAUGUAUACGUCCUAGGAACUCUGCCCGUGGUUGGAAUAAUCACCCCACAUAUUCCAUCUGUGGCAGAGUCUUUUGCUUUCUACCUUCAUUAUAUUUCUAAUAUGUAUCCUCUUCUCACCAUUCAUAUACCUACCACAAUGGUUCAGACCAUUAUCAUUUCAA